rnacentral:rRNA from 1 species
CGGACGGGUGAGUAACACGUGGAUAACCUACCUAUAAGACUGGGAUAACUUCGGGAAACCGGAGCUAAUACCGGGUAAUAUUUUGAACCGCAUGGUUCAAAAGUGAAAGACGGUCUUGCUGUCACUUAUAGAUGGAUCCGCGCUGCAUUAGCUAGUUGGUAAGGUAACGGCUUACCAAGGCAACGAUGCAUAGCCGACCUGAGAGGGUGAUCGGCCACACUGGAACUGAGACACGGUCCAG